rnacentral:rRNA from 1 species
GAUGAACGCUAGCGGCAGGCUUAACACAUGCAAGUCGAGGGGCAGCGCGGGAUAGCAAUAUCCUGGCGGCGACCGGCGGAAGGGUGCGUAACGCGUGAGCGACAUGCCCGUUGCCCGGGGACAACCGGUGGAAACGCCGACUAAUCCCCGAUGGGAUACGAUGCUUCAUGGCAUUGUAUUGAAAGUUACGGCGGCGACGGAUUGGCUCGCGUCCGAUUAACUGGUUGGCGGGGUAACGGCCCACCAAGGCUGCGAUCGGUAGGGGUUCUGAGAGGAAGGCCCCCCACAAUGGGACUGAGACACGGCCCAUACUCCUACGGGAGGCAGCAGUGAGGAAUAUUGGUCAAUGGGCGGAAGCCUGAACCAGCCAUGCCGCGUGCGGGAAGGAGGCCCUAUGGGCUGUGAACCGCUUUUGCCUGGGGGCAAUAAGGGCGUCGCGCACGUCCGAUGAGAGUACCAGGCGAAUAAGCAUCGGCUAACUCCGUG